rnacentral:lncRNA from 1 species
AUGGAAGUGGUGGCCACAUUUCAUGCUACUGAACUCCACUUAAGGAUGGUGAUGAUGGCUCAUUACAUAUACACUGAUGACACUAUAAACACAUUAUAUAUACACACACGUUUUACCAUGGUAAGAAGAGGCGGAGAAGAACUGGAGACAGCAAGUACAGACAGGUCCUUCGAGGGGCAGGACCCGGUGCACAGGAUGAGCACAUGGGACCCCACCCGCAAGGGCUGGGCGCUGUGGUGGGGCAGAGCAGGAAACGCAGUGGGUGGCCCAGGCAGGCACGGAGAGCACCAGGGAUGGGAGCCUGUGAAGGGGGAGCAGGUGGCCCCUCAGAGCAAAGUGACAGCUUGGGUUGCUCCCUCCGCAUCCUGCCCAGGACUGCUACUGUGCUAUGGCCGAGGCCCUGCUUCUCAGCAGGCAGCACCCUCUAUAGAGGGGCUUUACUCCUACACUUCUGGAGCCAGGGGAAGGACCUGGCUUGGAAUAUGGCCAACCAAGAAAAGCCCAGGUGAGAAAUACACGGACCAGACAGGGAGCAGAGAAAGGAGCAGCAAUGCAGUCCCUCAGCCAGGGACUCUGGAGCCUGUCCUUUGGGCCCCACCCCUACCUCUUCAGCACGGCUGUUUCCAGUUUUCUUUCUCUCCCUGCGAAGCCUCUCCUCUCACCAUGCCUACACCUUCCAGAAUCCUGCCUGCUGGCAGCUCCCAGACCUCCAGCCUGGCCCUCCUUAGCUGCAAAGGCGCUUCCCAACGUCCCUCACACAGCCCCUACCCCCAACUGACUCCAACUGUCCUGCAGCCCACGGUCACCCUCAGGACCCCUGAGCUCACGCCAGUUGCUUCAUACACUGCCAGCCAGGUCUCUGCCUGGAUGACAACCACCUUCUGCAAAUCAUUCUCCACACCUCAAGGCCAAAUGCCCUCCAAGCCACCUCACGCACCACAAUGCUACCAAACACACAGAAAAGAGACAUUGAAAAAAGGAAACUUCACAGAGGUGUCAUUGAAACUGGGUCCUGAAACAGAGACACCAUUUCCUCAGGACUUAGCUCCUGCAUCAGGAUGCCCACGGCUGCAGAUGCCCUGGAACAGACACUGA